GACGAACGCUGGCGGCGUGCUUAACACAUGCAAGUCGAACGGAAAGGCCCUGCUUUUGUGGGGUGCUCGAGUGGCGAACGGGUGAGUAACACGGGAGUAACCUGCCCUUGACUUGGGGAUAACUUCAGGAAACUGGGGCUAAUACCGGAUAGGAGCUCCUGCUGCAUGGGGGGGGUUGGAAAGUUUCGGCGGUUGGGGAUGGACUCGCGGCUUAUCAGCUUGUGGGUGGGGUAGUGGCUUACCAAGGGUUUGGCGGGUGGCCGGCCUGAGAGGGUGACCGGCCACAUUAGGACUGAGAUACGGACCAGAGUCGUACGGGAGGCAGCAGUGGGGAAUAUUGCACAAUGGGCGGACGCCUGAUGCAGAAACGCCGCGUGCGGGAUGACGGCCUUCGGGUUGUAAACCGCUUUCGCCUGUGGCGAAGCGUGAGUGACGGUAAUGGGUAAAGAAGCACCGGCUAACUACGUG
rnacentral:rRNA from 1 species